AGCUUUAUAGCUAGCCCGCUCAAACAACUUCAACAAACCCCUGUUAAUACCCCCUAAGUACACUAGUAUUUAUAUUAAACAAACCAUUUUUCCCCCUUAGUAUAGGCGAUAGAAAAGGGCCCACGGCGCAAUAGAGAAAGUACCGCAAGGGAAUGCUGAAAGAGAAGUGAAAUAACCCAGUGAAGCCUAAAAAAGCAGAGAUUAAAACUCGUACCUUUUGCAUCAUGAUUUAGCAAGUGUAACCCAAGCAAAGAGUGCUUUAGUUUGACGUCCCGAAACUAAGUGAGCUACUCCAAGACAGCCUAUUAAUAGGGCACACCCGUCUCUGUGGCAAAAGAGUGGGGGGAGCUUUGAGUAGAGGUGACAGACCUACCGAACCUAGUUAUAGCUGGUUGUCCAAGAAAUGAAUAGAAGUUCAGCCUCCCGGCUUCUCUUUUCACUUUAGAUUAACCCCUAUUGAUGUACUUAAGAAACCGAAAGAGUUAGUCAAAGGGGGUACAGCCCCUUUGAACAAAGACACAACUUUACCAGGAGGGUAAAGAUCAUAAUAAACCAAAGGUAAAUAUUUGGGUGGGCCUAAAAGCAGCCAUCCCCUUAGAAAGCGUUAUAGCUCAAAUAUACCCGUUAACCCUUCUUAUUCUGAUCACCAAAUCUUAUCCCCCUAAACAUACUGGACCCUCCCAUGCCCACAUGGGAGUGAUUAUGCUAAUAUGAGUAAUAAGAGGGCCUCGGCCCUCUCCCUGCACACGUGUACGUCGGAACGGACAUCCCGCCGACCAUUAACGGCCCCAAAAAAAGAGGGCACUGAAUAAUAGAUCAAACAACAAGAAAAACAUUCAGAAAUUUAACCGUUAACCCAACACAGGUGUGCCCGUAGGGAAAGACUAAAAGAAAGAGAAGGAACUCGGCAAACACAUUAAAGCCUCGCCUGUUUACCAAAAACAUCGCCUCUUGCAAACUUAAUAAAUAAGAGGUCCCGCCUGCCCUGUGACUAUUAGUUUAACGGCCGCGGUAUUUUGACCGUGCGAAGGUAGCGCAAUCACUUGUCUUUUAAAUGAAGACCUGUAUGAAUGGCAUAACGAGGGCUUAACUGUCUCCUCUCUCCAGUCAAUGAAAUUGAUCUUCCCGUGCAGAAGCGGGAAUACAAACAUAAGACGAGAAGACCCUAUGGAGCUUUAGACACCAAGACAGAUCAUGUUAAUAACCCUAAUUAAAGGACUAAACCAAGUGGAACCUGCCCUAAUGUCUUUGGUUGGGGCGACCGCGGGGAAUUGAAAAACCCCCACGUGGAAUGGGAGCACCCCUCCUACAACUAAGAACUACAGCUCUAGUAAACAGAAAUUCUGACCAGUAAGAUCCGGCAAUGCCGAUCAACGGACCGAGUUACCCUAGGGAUAACAGCGCAAUCCUCUUUUAGAGCCCAUAUCGACAAGGGGGUUUACGACCUCGAUGUUGGAUCAGGACAUCCUAAUGGUGCAGCCGCUAUUAAGGGUUCGUUUGUUCAACGAUUAAAGUCCUACGUGAUCUGAGUUCAGACCGGAGUAAUCCAGGUCAGUUUCUAUCUAUGCUAUGCUCUUUUCUAGUACGAAAGGACCGAAAAGAAGAGGCCCAUGCUCAAGGCACGCCUCCCCCUUACCUAGUGAAGUCAACUAAAGUAGGCAAAAGGGCAUGCCCCGCCAGCCUGAGAAAAAGGCAU
rnacentral:rRNA from 1 species